AGAACGAACGCUGGCGGCAUGCCUAAUACAUGCAAGUCGAACGAACACUUCGGUGUUAGUGGCGCACGGGUGCGUAACGCGUGGGAAUCUGCCCUUGGGUUCGGAAUAACAGUUGGAAACGACUGCUAAUACCGGAUGAUAUCGAAAGAUCAAAGAUUUAUCGCCCAGGGAUGAGCCCGCGUAGGAUUAGCUAGUUGGUGAGGUAAAGGCUCACCAAGGCGACGAUCCUUAGCUGGUCUGAGAGGAUGAUCAGCCACACUGGGACUGAGACACGGCCCAGACUCCUGCGGA
rnacentral:rRNA from 1 species